rnacentral:misc_RNA from 1 species
GGCAGAUGAGAAUGAUCAGUGAGUACUAGGGCUUGUUUAAGGGUUGAGAAGGUCCAGAGUUGUCGUCCAGCAUUGCUCAGUGUGGGUGUCUGAAAGUCAGUCAUGUCAUCUUCCUGUUGCAGCGGUUGUCAAGUUACUGUGCCUUCUUAAUGUGGUGUCAAAGUUGUACUUAAACUGAAAUUGGUAUUUUCUGGUCCUUGUGGAUACUUGUCGAGUUACAUCAGGUGUCUACCAGCUCAUUCUGGCUAGAUGCUAUUGAGGUUGAUUUGGUUACAAUAUUCAAUAGGAUUUCUUCUGGUUUUUUUGCUUGCAUGAAAUGUUAGACGGGUUGUUGGUAUCCAUUGGUGUUGGGUGGUAAUAUAAAAAAGCCUAAUGCAGCCUGUUUAUCCUGGUCUGUUAUCUUUGUUUCAAAUGUAUUCAGUAUGUGUCUUGACUGUCAAAGUAACAUGUCUGGGUUGUACCACAUCAAGUUCCA